GAUGAACGCUGGCGGCGUGCCUAAUACAUGCAAGUCGAGCGAAUGGAUUAAGAGCUUGCUCUUAUGAAGUUAGCGGCGGACGGGUGAGUAACACGUGGGUAACCUGCCCAUAAGACUGGGAUAACUCCGGGAAACCGGGGCUAAUACCGGAUAACAUUUUGAACCGCAUGGUUCGAAAUUGAAAGGCGGCUUCGGCUGUCACUUAUGGAUGGACCCGCUUCGCAUUAGCUAGUUGGUGAGGUAACGGCUCACCAAGGCAAUGAUGCGUAGCCGACCUGAGAGGGUGAUCGGCCACACUGGGACUGAGACACGGCCCAGACUCCUACGGGAGGCAGCAGUAGGGAAUCUUCCGCAAUGGACGAAAGUCUGACGGAGCAACGCCGCGUGAGUGAUGAAGGCUUUCGGGUCGUAAAACUCUGUUGUUAGGGAAGAACAAGUGCUAGUUGAAUAAGCUGGCACCUUGACGGUACCUAACCAGAAAGCCACGGCUAACUACGUGCCAGCAGCCGCCGCGG
rnacentral:rRNA from 1 species